GACGAACGCUGGCGGCGUGCUUAACACAUGCAAGUCGAACGGAAAGGCCCUGCUUUUGUGGGGUGCUCGAGUGGCGAACGGGUGAGUAACACGUGAGUAACCUUCCCUUGACUUUGGGAUAACUUCAGGAAACUGGGGCUAAUACCGGAUAGGAUCUCCUGCUGCAUGGUGGGGGUUGGAAAGUUUCGGCGGUUGGGGAUGGACUCGCGGCUUAUCAGCUUGUUGGUGGGGUAGUGGCUUACCAAGGCUUUGACGGGUAGCCGGCCUGGGAGGGUGACCGGGCACAAUGGGACUGAGAUACGGCCCAGACUCCUACGGGAGGCAACAGUGGGGAAUAUUGCACAAUGAGCGGAAGCCUGAUGCAGCAACGCCGCGUGCGGGAUGACGGCCUUCGGGUUAUAAACCGCUUUCGCCUGUGACGAAGCGUGAGUGACGGUAAUGGGUAAAGAAGCACCGGCUAACUACGUG
rnacentral:rRNA from 1 species